UCGGAGCGAGUGGCGAACUGGUGAGUAACACGUGGGUAACCUGCCCCGAAGCGGGGGAUAACAUUUGGAAACAAGUGCUAAUACCGCAUAAUUAGUUGGAACCGCAUGGUUCCAACUUGAAAGAUGGCUCUGCUAUCACUUUGGGAUGGACCCGCGCCGUAUUAUUUAGUUGGUGAGAUAAAAGCCCACCAAGACGAUGAUACGUAGCCGACCUGAGAGGGUAAUCGGCCACAUUGGGACUGAGACACGGCCCAGACUCCUACGGGAGGCAGCAGUAGGGAAUCUUCCACAAUGGACGAAAGUCUGAUGGAGCAACGCCGCGUGAGUGAUGAAGGUUUUCGGAUCGUAAAACUCUGUUGUUAAAGAAGAACAAGUGUUAGAGUAACUGUUAACACUUUGACGGUAUUUAACCAGAAAGCCACGGCUAACUACGUGCCAGCAGCCGCGGUAAUACGUAGGUGGCAAGCGUUGUCCGGAUUUAUUGGGCGUAAAGCGAGCGCAGGCGGUUUUGUAAGUCUGCUGUGAAAGCCCUCAGCUCAACUGAGGAAGUGCAGUGGAAACUACAAAACUUGAGUACAGAAGAGGAAAGUGGAACUCCAUGUGUAGCGGUGAAAUGCGUAGAUAUAUGGAAGAACACCAGUGGCGAAGGCGGCUUUCUGGUCUGUUACUGACGCUGAGGCUCGAAAGCAUGGGUAGCGAACAGGAUUAGAUACCCUGGUAGUCCAUGCCGUAAACGAUGAAUACUAGGUGUUGGAGGGUUUCCGCCCUUCAGUGCCGCAGCUAACGCAUUAAGUAUUCCGCCUGGGGAGUACGACCGCAAGGUUGAAACUCAAAGGAAUUGACGGGGGCCCGCACAAGUGGUGGAGCAUGUGGUUUAAUUCGAUGCUACGCGAAGAACCUUACCAGCUCUUGACAUCUUUCUGCCAACCCAAGAGAUUGGGCGUUUCCCUUCGGGGACAGAAUGACAGGUGGUGCAUGGGUUGUCGUCAGCUCGUGUCGUGAGAAUGUUGGGUUAAGUCCGCAACGAGCGCAACCCUUAUU
rnacentral:rRNA from 1 species